UACUUUCUUCUUUUGUUACUCUAUCAACUUGCAUCAUCAUGUGUAUCAUGUUAAUCCAAGAACUGAACAAUAAUUUUCAAUGGGCUGUGUGGUUGUUAAGGGGCCUGUGACAAAGAGGAUGUUUUACCAUCGUGUGUGUGAGUGCACGAGAGGGAGGGGGAGAGGGAGGUGCAUGCGUGAUGACUAUAGGCAAGUGAUAGGUUGAAUAGUUUAACCAAGCCGCUUAAAAAUAGUUGUUAGACUGUGUCCAUAUGUAUGCUAUAAGCUAUACUUUUGUGAGCCUAAAAGGCACUUUAAUAGCCAGCUUAGGACGAGAUUUAGUUUAGGUCAGAUUUAUUAUGGCUGGUCCUGGGUGCCUGUAGUCUUUUCUGCCAGUCCGUUUCAGCACAGAGAAUGGUUGCGUUAUUGGUAUGUAUAGUGUUGGACUUAAGUGUAUGUUAUUAUACAGUGUGAAGUGUAGCCAGGUGUUUUUCCAUAUCAUUUUAUUAUUGUUUAAUAUGUUAUGUUAUUGAACAUAUACUUCAUACCACACACUGUGAUUUCUUUCAUUGGAGGAGCUACCAUCAUGCUGCCCCAUGUUAUUGAGGUAGUGGGUACAACCGGUGGUGGAGGAAAUACUACAGAUGGACCACAGUAUUUGAAAUCUUUUUUUACUGACGAGGUGAUUGAAAAACUAAUGAAGCACCACAUGGAAAACAAGUCCAUAGGGCAAGGAUGCUUAGAGCAUGAAGCAGAACUGGGUGCAUGUGACCAGGAAGUAUAUGUGGACCCAUUUGUGGACAGCCACUUUUUGAGGGCUGCUCUUGGAGCUGUUACCAAGCAGUACUUGAAAAGAACCGUGAAAUCAGUGAAAUACCUGCCACAGAAUAGACCUGCCUGGUGGCCACUGAGCAUUCCAUUUGUGUCCCCAAACGAUGGAAAAAAUCCUAAAAGAAGAGAGCUGGAUGCCGAUGCCCUGCAGGCAGUUGCAGUGUCCUACAACACAUUUUAUGGACUCAAGCCAGGCAAUGAUGGACAUGAACAGGAAGAAGAAGCUGGGACAACUUCUCAAGACAAAAGUCAAUAAAUGGAAUAAAUCACUUUUGGCUUUAACCAGGCAAGACAUCAACGAACUCCACUCUGGCAGAAACUAUUUUGGUGCAUUUAAGUUUCAAUUACAAGUAUGAGUACAUAUUCUCUAAUAAAGAUUCUUCACUGUA